rnacentral:lncRNA from 1 species
UGUCCUUGCAGCAUGCUACAAGGCUUUGAAUGAUCACCAUGUUCUUCUUGAGGGAACUCUAUUGAAGCCAAACAUGGUGACACCUGGAUCUAAAUCUGCAAAGGUUGCUCCUGAAGUGGUUGCUGAACACACUGUUAGAGCCCUGCAGCGAACUGUACCUGCUGCAGUUCCUGCUGUAGUUUUCUUGUCUGGUGGACAGAGCGAGGAGGAGGCAACCCUCAACCUGAAUGCCAUCAACCAGAUUAAGGGGAAGAAGCCAUGGACACUCUCUUUCUCUUUUGGAAGGGCACUUCAACAGAGUACCCUUAAGGCAUGGGGUGGAAAAGAAGAGAAUGUGAAGAAGGCUCAAGAAGCCUUAUUGAUAAGAGCCAAGGCUAACUCAGAGGCAACUCUUGGAACCUACAAGGGUGAUUCAAAGCUUGCUGAGGGCGCCGCAGAGAGCCUCCAUGUUGAUAACUACAAGUACUGAGAAAAGUUCGAGACUAGUGCGGGUAGGAAUCGGGUGACAACCGAAUUUCUUGCUAAU